rnacentral:ncRNA from 1 species
CCCCUUGCAGUAAUGUCUGGGGUGACUGGGCAGAAGUCAGCAGACGGCAUAGUAGUGGAUUCUUGACAGAUGAAGCGAAGGCC